GAGCCUGCUUUGGCGGCACAUAUGCUAAAACUGGAAUAACACAGAGAAGAACAGCAUGACCCCUGGUGAGGAUGGCACACACAUUUGUGAAGUGGGCUUCUGGAAU